GCCCCACUCCCGAGACGACGGCCUGCCAACCAGGUCAGGUCCGAGAGGAAGCAGCCUCCCGCAUCAGCCGUCGGGCUCGGAUCGGUGGGUCCGG
rnacentral:SRP_RNA from 1 species